rnacentral:sRNA from 1 species
AGAUCCGAAACACUUAGAGGGCCAGGGC